GAUCGCAUAAAAACCCUGGCUACCAUACUGGAAAGACCUUGUGAAGAGCCCACAUAGAAAUAGAGAUCCCUGAGGAACCCCGGCUGGUGCAGCCCCCCAGUUUUGAAUCUUCCCAUCCCAGGCACCAGACAUGUGAAGGAGGGAGUUUUCAGAUAAUUCUAGUCCUCUCUUCUUACUAUAACUGCAUGAGAGACCUCAAGCAAGAACCACUCAGCUGAGGCCAGUAAACCCCCAAAGCUGUGAGAGAGCCCAAGUUGUCCGCAAAGCCCAAGGCCCACAAAGAAUCAUCCACUGUUGCAGAGAGAAUUGCUAGGAUGAAAGGUUUCUUUUUCCACGAUGAAGUCUCCAGCAAUAAAAACUGAAGACUCUCCUGCUUCAUGACGUCUGUGAAUGAUUUCAGAGCUAUCUUUGAGAACUUAUUCGAAGGAUCAGAAGUGUUUGAUAGCCUACCAAAUGCUAAAACUCAGAGCAAAUACAGCAGGAAGCAUAAGCAGAAACGGGAAACAAGGUUGUUCUUAUUUCUUUACCUUGGAAACUUUUGCAUAGGCGGAGAGAAGAAGCUGCUUGAGGUCCAAAACUCUUCAAACGUGUUUUAAAAUCUUGAGCUCGUCACAGAAGUGGUGUUGGGUGUUCUGGAGAAGAGAGAUGCAGAGGGAGCGUCUCAAGGACAAGGUUUCUGGUGUCUUCCUCUGGUGAAUUCGGGGCAGGAGGAGUAUUCUGAAAUCA